UACAGUCAGGCACAGUUUAUCAAGCUGCAGUGAGACUAGGCACCUCCUCUUCUAUUAAGGCUGGAGAAGCAAUCCGGUAGGAGGAAUGGGUCCCAAAGGCAGGCAACAGAGUCAGAUACAACCCUUGUUCCCACUGAUAGAAGUCUUACACCAAGACCAAGUUACAUGACUGCAACAUAUAUGCAGAGCACUGAGGAUGAGCUAGAAACCUAGGGCAAUGGAAACUCCCAGGAAUAUAUGAGGGUGACCCUAGCUAGGAUGCCUAGCAAUAGGGGAUAUGGAACCUGACCUGGAGAUCUCCUGUAACCAAGCAAGACUUCUGGUGGAGGAAUUGGGGCACCAACUCAGCUGCAAACCUUUGACCUACAAUUUGUUGUGCCUAUAGAAUAUUCUGUAAAGAUGGUGCAGAAAGUGUGGCAGUGGAGACCCAUACCGAGAGAGAGAGAGAGAGAGAGAGAGAGAGAGCUCUCCUCUGACCUCUGAGGGCCAGGACCCAAAGGCCUAGCAUGGCAUUUUUAUGUUUAUUUCAUUUCAUUUCCUUUUUUUCAUGAGUUCUGGCAAUCAAAUUCAGGUUUUCAUGCUUGUGAGACAAGUAAGUUGCCAAAAGUUAUCUCACCAGUCAAUGGACAGCAAUGUGAACUGCAUGAGUAAUGUACACUUACUCUCGUGAUGACUUAGAGUAUCGAGUCUUGAAGAAGACUCAGCUUUGUCGGGAUGUCAAGACUGCAUCUGCAUCACUCAGCCUAAAGGGAGGAUGAGUUGGGCAGAUCCUCCGAAUGCUAUCUUCUAUUAAGCUGUGGUCAAUGUGUUUGUGCUGAAGUUUCUGUGGUUUUACAUUGCAUUCCAGUAAGAUGACAGAACCUGAUCCCCAGGUGGAAUGUUCUCUUUCAGGUCAAGCAUGCCUGCAAGAUAAAGGCUGACCUGCUGCUGGCAGGAAUCCCAAGUUCUUGAUAGUGGCCACAGAAGAGGGCAUUGUUUCUCUUACAGAACUGUCCCUUCACGUCCUAGCGUGACUUACAACAUAGUGCUCUCUGAGUUUAGAAAUCUUAAGCUAAUUCUUCUGAAAUGAAAGGUGGGCUUGAAGAAUUGUGCCUAAAAUAUCUGAUACCCUAGUACUGCCCCAUGCUUACCAGGAGCACUGACACAUGGAUGGCCUUCAACAGCCACUGGCUCAGCUCUAUCUCUGUAGAUUUGCCAACUCUGAACUGCAAGUAAUUGGAAAAGAACUUGUCUAUACCAAACAAGCAUGGCAUUUUUUUUUCUUGUCAUGAUUCCCUAAAUUGUUGCUAUGUAUCAGAUAGCAACUACUUACAUAGCAUUUACAUAGUAUCAGAUACUAUGAGAGAUCUGGAGAUUAUUCAAAGUGUAAUGUUGUAUAUGGGUUAUAUGCAAAUAUUCCAUAAGGAAUGAGUAUCUUAGGCAUUUUCUUAUCUUUGGAGAGUCUUAAAAGGGCAUUUUCUUAUCUUUGGAGAAUCUUAAAACCAUUUUCCUGCAGGCAUGGUGAGAUGCCGAUAAUGAAAUCAUAUACCUGGACCCUCUUCCUUCCCAAGGAGUGUUCUUUUUAGACUCAUUUUUCCCCCCAUAAGGAAGUAAAGAAACUUAAAUAGCAACUUUUUAACAUUAAAUACACUGUAAGCAAAUGGUUAACAAUAUUAACUUGGUUUAGAUUUGUCUCAGAAGGAGCAGACAGGAUUUUGAAAACUCAAGCACUCAAAAUCUCAUGAGAAAGACCUCCCUGUUCACUUUGACCUCUUCUUGGAGGCAUAGCUGUCCAGUGAGAGGCAUGAAAGGGAAAAAGUAGCGAGGCCAGGGAUGGGCUUCCCCAGCCUCCUCCGGAACGGUCGGUCUAGGUUUGUUGUGAAUCAGUGUCAGAGUUGGGCAGGGCAAGGCUCCCCUCUCCUGCAAGCUGUGAUUAUGAAGGCAUCCAUCUGUCAACAGAGGCUCUCUGCUACGUUUCCAGCCAGCUUCCUCCCCACUGACUCACUCGGUGAUGCCACAUCUAAUGUUUAUGACCUAACGGUUGAUCACCAUGGAACUAGCACAAACCAGGGACUGUGGAGGAGCAACACCAGCGAAGAGACGCUGGGCACUGCAGGAAAAGAGAGAAAGGCCCAUAUUCAUGGAGACCACAGAUGAAGACAGAACAUCCCAUUCCUCAUGUGGACACAGCCACCAGUUGCUAAAACGGAUCCUUGGAAGCUUUCAAGUUUCUUGAAGAAUCCAAAUAAAGACUUAGGGUGACCAAGGACAAACAAAUACCACAGCGUUUAGGAACGAAGGCCGAGGAAUGGGAGGAAAUGUGUAUGGAGCAAUUUAAUAAGGUUUGGAUCACAAAUCCACCAUCCUUUCUUUGCUGCCAGCAUGUGGCAAUGGAUGAAAAGAGAAAAGGCACCAAAUGUCAGGAGAAAGAAGAAAAUCCCUUCCCAAACUGAAACUCGGGAACAGUCCUGGAGGUAUAGUCUCCAAUUGCCAGGGUCAGACUACAAUGGUGAGUGAGCCCAUCCUCCCUAAGAAAAAGGAAGGCCAAUGGAAAGAAAUCAGUGCUUCUCAGUAAAGAUCUUCACAGUUAAUGCCAUGCAAGGCAGCAAGCUUUGGCACAGACGUGAACACCAGAUGAGGACUCUGGUGGCAUGGUCAAGGUGAAGUGUGUCUGACUUCCUGGCCUGCCCUCCCCAGACUAAUAAUCAGGAGGGGCCGCUCUUGAGCCCUCAAGAGCCUGUGUGAACACAGUGUCUCCUGGAGUGCUUGCGGCUUACAAGUAAUGGGAGAGUCUUUUUAUAACCGUUGUGGUUUCAUUUAAAAGGAAGCUCAGAAUCAGUGGUAAAGGGAGGGGAAGUUUGUGAGCUGCAGACCAUCUGAAAAGGGGGAAAUCAUAAAUACCAGAGUGUCUGAUUAUUUGAACGUCUCUUGAAGUCAAAUAAUGAACCUUCUUCAUGUUUGGCUUUCCUGGACUUGGCUCCCUCUGACAACUUUGCAGGCAUCAGGGUCUGUCUGGAAUUCAUUCCAAGUUGGAGGGAUAUUUUUUCCCUUGACAUUUUGCAGCUGAGACGGCCCCGAGGAGGAAGCUAAGGAGCGUAACAUUACCAAAUAUGUCCUUUCUCCUGCUUGUAUAUUUUAUUUCCACAGGAAAAGAAGGCAGAUGCAGGCCAAGGAGAGCUGGCCAAUAAGAAUGUGGCCACAGCAGGCAGCUUCUGGCAAUGGAGACAUUGAUCAGACGCCAUGGUUCUCAAGAAAGGAAAUGGUUAGUGCCCAGGAGUAGCAAUCUGUGCUUUGCUACAGGACAAAGUCUGACAAUUUUUUUUUUUAUGUGUUACCCAGCUAGUU